UAACGCGAAGAACCUUACCAAGGCUUGACAUAUACCGGAAAGCAUUAGAGAUAGUGCCCCCCUUGUGGUCGGUAUACAGGUGGUGCAUGGCUGUCGUCAGCUCGUGUCGUGAGAUGUUGGGUUAAGUCCCGCAACGAGCGCAACCCUUGUCCUGUGUUGCCAGCAUGCCCUUCGGGGUGAUGGGGACUCACAGGAGACCGCCGGGGUCAACUCGGAGGAAGGUGGGGACGACGUCAAGUCAUCAUGCCCCUUAUGUCUUGGGCUGCACACGUGCUACAAUGGCCGGUGCAAUGAGCUGCGAUACCGUGAGGUGGAGCGAAUCUCAAAAAGCCGGUCUCAGUUCGGAUUGGGGUCUGCAACUCGACCCCAUGAAGUCGGAGUUGCUAGUAAUCGCAGAUCAGCAUUGCUGCGGUGAAUACGUUCCCGGGUCUUGUACACACCGA
rnacentral:rRNA from 1 species